CGGAAGGCAGCAGUAGGGAGUAUUGCACAAUGGGGGAAACCCUGAUGCAGCGACGCCGCGUGAGUGAUGAAGUAUUUCGGUACGUAAAACUCUAUCAGCAGGGAAGAUAAUGACGGUACCUGACUAAGAAGCCCCGGCUAACUGCGUGCCAGCAGCCGCGGUAAUACGUAGGGGGCAAGCGUUAUCCGGAUUUACUGGGUGUAAAGGGAGUGUAGGUGGCCUGGCAAGCCAGAUGUGAAAGCCCGCAGCUCAACUGCGGGACUGCAUUUGGAACUGUUAGGCUUGAGUGCAGGAGAGGAAAGUGGAAUUCCUAGUGUAGCGGUGAAAUGCGUAGAUAUUAGGAGGAACACCAGUGGCGAAGGCGGCUUUCUGGACUGUAACUGACACUGAGGCUCGAAAGCGUGGGGAGCAAACAGGAUUAGAUACCCUGGUA
rnacentral:rRNA from 1 species